rnacentral:rRNA from 1 species
GCAGUCGAACGGUAACAGGGAGCUUGCUCCGCUGACGAGUGGCGAACGGGUGAGUAAUACAUCGGAACGUGCCCAGUAAUGGGGAUAGCUCGGCGAAAGCCGGAUUAAUACCGCAUACGCCCUGAGGGGGAAAGUGGGGGACCGCAAGGCCUCACGUUAUUGGAGCGGCCGAUGGCUGAUUAGCUAGUUGGUAGGGUAAAGGCCUACCAAGGCGACGAUCAGUAGCUGGUCUGAGAGGACGAUCAGCCACACUGGGACUGAGACACGGCCCAGACUCCUACGGGAGGCAGCAGUGGGGAAUUUUGGACAAUGGGGGAAACCCUGAUCCAGCAAUGCCGCGUGUGCGAAGAAGGCCUUCGGGUUGUAAAGCACUUUUGUCAGGGAAGAAAUCCUUUGGGCUAAUACCCUAGGGGGAUGACGGUACCUGAAGAAUAAGCACCGGCUAACUACGUGCCAGCAGCCGCGGUAAUACGUAGGGUGCAAGCGUUAGUCGGAAUUACUGGGCGUAAAGCGUGCGCAGGCGGUUGUGUAAGACAGGUGUGAAAUCCCCGGGCUUAACCUGGGAAUUGCAUUUGUGACUGCACGACUAGAGUGUGUCAGAGGGGGGUGGAAUUCCACGUGUAGCAGUGAAAUGCGUAGAUAUGUGGAGGAACACCAAUGGCGAAGGCAGCCCCCUGGGAUAACACUGACGCUCAUGCACGAAAGCGUGGGGAGCAAACAGGAUUGGAUACCCUGGUAGUCCACGCCCUANACGAUGUCAACUAGUUGUUGGGGAUUUACUUCCUUGGUAACGUAGCUAACGCGUGAAGUUGACCGCCUGGGGAGUACGGCCGCAAGGUUAAAACUCAAAGGAAUUGACGGGGACCCGCACAAGCGGUGGAUGAUGUGGAUUAAUUCGAUGCAACGCGAAAAACCUUUACUACCCUUG